rnacentral:tRNA from 1 species
UCUCCUGUAGCUCAGUGGUAGAGCGUCCGACCGGUGUGCGGAAGACAUAGGUUCGACUCCAGUUGGGAGAA